rnacentral:rRNA from 2 species
UCUGGUAAUGAUGGCAGAGAGGUCACACCCGUUCCCAUACCGAACACGGAAGUUAAGCUCUCUAGCGCCGAUGGUAGUUGGGACCUUGUCCCUGUGAGAGUAGGAUGUUGCCAGGC